rnacentral:rRNA from 1 species
UACAGAGGUCUCAAGCGUUGUUCGGAUUCAUUGGGCGGAAAGGGUGCGUAGGCGGCGCGGUAAGUCGGGUGUGAAAUCUCGGAGCUUAACUCCGAAACUGCAUUCGAUACUGCCGUGCUUGAGGACUGGAGAGGAGACUGGAAUUUACGGUGUAGCGGUGAAAUGCGUAGAUAUCGUAAGGAAGACCAGUGGCGAAGGCGGGUCUCUGGACAGUUCCUGACGCUGAGGCACGAAGGUCAGGGGAGCAAACGGG